AUGGAAGCCAUGGAUAUUGAAGCUGUUGGUGACAAGGGAUCUCCAAGCUUAGUAUCAUCGAGGACAGGAACCUUUGAACCAAGGGAAGAUGAUUAUCUAAUAUUGAUUCCCCAAGCCAGCAUCUUUGCCCUUGUGCUGCAGGCUCUGAAGUUGCCCCCUGCGAUUUACCGUCGCAAAAUAUGUCUAGGCAACAUGCAUUGUGUGACGGUUACUUUCAAUUCAUCGUUAGAGUUGUUUGACGGUCUGCUUGUUCCAACCUCAAUAUCUGGUAUGAUUUCAAAUAACUAUGAAGAUGCAGAAGACAGUGUCGCUAUCGAAGCCAUUAGAUAUAUGGAGAAUGCAUAUGGCAAAGAGAUAACGGACUAUAACUACAACCACGCCAAAAAAUUGCAGAAUCAAGUCACACACCUGCUAAGGUUACCAGCAAACAAAACAAUAAAGAAGAUACGCAGGGGAUGGCACUAUGCUGUCAGGUACAUGGAUUCAUAUUCUGCUCAGAUACAGAAUACAGCAGCUGCUCGCCGUUUCAGAGGGCAGGACAACACCAGAGGGGUUAUGAAAAAAGCACUUGCAAGCAUAGGAAAAUUGGCAAAGAGGCUGCGCUACAUUGGCAUGAAGUCGGAGCAGCGCCUGGAGACCACAAAUAGUAUUUGGUGA
rnacentral:rRNA from 1 species